rnacentral:sRNA from 1 species
AUGGCUGUCGUCAGCUCGUGUCGUGAGAUGUUGGGUUAAGUCCCGCAACGAGCGCAACCCUUACCUUCAAUUGCCAACACGUUAUGGUGGGAACUUUGAAGGAACUGCCGGUGAUAAGCCGGAGGAAGGUGGGGAUGACGUCAAGUCCUCAUGGCCCUUAUGGGCCGGGCUACACACGUGAUACAAUGGUGACUACAAAGGGCAGCGAAGGAGCAAUCUGGAGCAAAUCUUAAAAAGUUACCUCAGUUCGGAUUGUACUCUGCAACUCGAGUACAUGAAGUUGGAAUCGCUAGUAAUCGUAGAUCAGCGCGCUACGGUGAAUACGUUCCCGGGUCUUGUACACACCGCCCGUCACACCAUGGGAGUUGGUUUUACCUGAAGCUGGUUUGCUAACCGUAAGGAGGCAGCCAACCACGGUAAGAUUAGCGACUGGGGUGAAGUCGUAACAAGGUAACCGUAGGGGAACCUGUGGCUGGAUCACCUCCUUUCUAAGGAGAAUAACUGUGGUGGCAUAAGCCAUCACGAGGUCGAACCGGGAUGCUUGCAUCCUGGCAGGGCUCGGACCUUAUUGUGCAAUUCAGUGUUCCGAGAACGGUGUUCUUUUGACAGGAUAGCUUUGCUCCGAACGGAUUCGUUCGGCGAUAAGUAAUUCAAAAGGGGCUGUAGCUCAGUUGGUAGAGCGCCUGCUUUGCAAGCAGGAUGUCAGGAGUUCGAGUCUCCUCAGCUCCACCAGCUAAAACAACCGGUCGGGCCUGUAGCUCAGUUGGUUAGAGCGCGCCCCUGAUAAGGGCGAGGUCACUGGUUCAAAUCCAGUUAGGCCCACCAUCCCGAAUUUUUUGGCGACAGCAGAACAAGUCGCCAAGGUUCUUUGACAACUGUAUGCAGUGAUAUUGCGGUAGAAAAUGCAAUACGCUGAGAAUUAAUUUGGAUAUUUUCAAUUUAUUGAAAUAACCCAAGUUCUUUUUGUGAUCAAGCUACUAAGGGCACGAGGUGAAUGCCUUGGCUCCAGAAGUCGAUGAAGGACGUAGUAAGUUGCGAUAAGCCACGAGGAGCGACAAACACGCGCUGAUCCGUGGAUUUCCGAAUGGGGAAACCCGG